CGCCUCGGAACGACUUCAACCCCGUUUUAUCGUUUCAGGUCCAUCAGUGGGAAGAAACUCUGCUCCAGCUGUGGACUCCCCCUCGGAAAAGGAGCCGCCAUGAUUAUUGAAAGCCUCGGUCUUUAUUUCCAUAUUCAGUGCUUCAGGUGUGGAAUUUGUAAGGGACAACUUGGGGACGCUGCGACUGGAACGGACGUCCGGAUCAAAAACGGCCUCCUGACCUGCAGUGAUUGUUAUAUCAAAUCCAGAACUGCUGGCCAGCCAACCACUUUGUGACCCGGAUCUCAGUUCCGCGUAAGAUGUUCUCCAAGGAGGACCAUCAUCCUUUGUGUCCUGAGGCUGUUCGCCACAAUGGCGUGUAAGAGCUCAAAUCCAUGGACUCCGUAGCUCUUGGAACACCCUCUUUAAGCUCGUGGGUCGAAAGGCUCGAAUGCCUCUUUCUUCACGCGAUACAUCCUUUGAUUUCCUGCGUUCAUUUAACGUUACAUGUAUGAAGUCUGCGGCUGCACGGUUAAGCACUUUUCCCUCCCAGCAAAGCGCCUUCCAAAAUAUCGGCCGCGCUUGGUUUUUCAAAUCCGAUAUUUUGAAAGGAACGAAGAGGCAAUAAUGUCCCUGCUGUUUUCAUUUCCUAGACGCGGAGAAUUCGAAGUUAGCGCAAACUUUGCAGAUAUGCAGAUAUCUGCAAAGCUUUGUAGAUACUCUCUAAUAUGCCAAUAUAUUACUUUCAUUAACGGAGUUCUCGGGAGGAGGUUGAGUAGCAUCAUAGAGAUCAACUUUUCUGUUUAUUACUAAAGAGGUAACUUUUUUUAUACAGACUAGUUUGAUAAAACACAUGGUAAUUCUGAAACCUUUUAGUAAAUAUUGCCUUCCAUGGAGGGUAGGGAUUCUCUCCAUAAAUUAUUGCUCCUUCAGUCAUGCAGUCUUUGAAAACCUAAAACCGGGCUUCUUAUAGUAACAGAUCAUCUACAUAUAAUGUUGGCUUUUUCACAAAAACCAAUUCUAUAAACAUUCGGCGGUUCUCCCCAACUAUCUGACAGAUGGCUUCUGGUUUGUUUGUUUUUUUAAGUCGACUUUUGCUAACUGUUUCGGGUUUAAACUAAGAUAAAACUCGUGUGUUUCAUUUUUACCGGGAAAAUAAAUAAUAUUACCACGCCCCUUUUGCAGUCAUUAUAGAGGUGGAAAAUCUCAGUAGCUGUGAAAUGGAAAUUCUGCGGUAACCAGUUCAACGUGGGUUUAACUGCGGUAACCAGUUUAAUUUGAAGAGAUCUCCAAAAUUUCCGAUCCUUCUCUGCCAGUGGUGAUAUUCAGCUGGUUCAGACCAGUUCGGGAGAACCGGUGGUAAAAUUAUAUGAAACCCACCUCUGCUCUCCAGAGAAGUGGUGAGAGUGUAAAAUGGGACCCCCUUGUAACAAAUCCUAAAUCCACCUUAAGAGAAACCCUGAAUUGCAUUAUAAUUAUGAUAAAUCCAAAGCAGAGGCCAGUAUAGGUAGUUCUCGACUUACAACCGUUCGUUGAGUGUCCAGAGUUGCUUUUGGGAGGUUGUUUAACUUGGAAGUGGGGAAUACAGAUUAAUUGGAAUAAAUACGUAUUUUUGACAUCUGUACGGCUGGUAGUAAGAGAAUCGCUAGUCACCCCAGUGGUGUGCCUUGGGUUAAAUCAGCGGUUCUCAACCUGUGGGUCGUGACCCCAUUGGAGGUCGAAUGACGAUUUGCCAGGGGUCGCCUAAGACCAUCGGAAAUAUGGGAAGUAUACUUGCGAGUCGAAGAAUCGCGCUCCAAUGGUUGACUCCACAAGCCAGCUGCAGGCUCUUCAAAUCGCUAGCCAAAUUCGGCUUCAGGCGCAAUGAAUUCAAAAAGAGAGAAAUCUUUGCUCUGAUGUCUCCCUCUCAAGCCAGCUGCAAUCACUCCCCAUCGCUAGCCUAAUCUGGCUUCAGGCGCGAUAAACUUAAUAGGGGAGGAGUCUCCGCUUUAAUGCCCCCGUCCUCAAGGCAAUCGCAAGCAGUUCAGAUCGCUAGCCAAUACGGAUUCAGGCGCGAUCAAUUCAAAAUGAAAAUAAUUUUACGGUUGGGGUCGCCACAUCGUGGGGAAUUGUAUUAAAGGGGUCGCAGCACUAUAAAGGUUGAGAACCACUGGGUUAAAUUGUAGUUUUGGUCUGUGUUUUCACUACCUCUUUUGUAGCGAGACAGGCUCAUCGUUAAGAACAAGGAAGUUGUAGGUUUUGGAUUUGUGCGUGCGCAACCGUGGUUUUGUUUCCAGGACACAAAUGUAAAGCGGAUUGGUUCUUUGAUCACCGUGGGCUUUUGGGGGAGGUACACAACUUGGCACAACCCACUGCACAAUUGGGUGCGUUUAAGCUCUUUAGAAAACAUACAGAUCAGCACAUCUGGAAAGAGCAAAAAACGUGACUUUGGGGGGGCUUGAACAUGAUCUGUUUGGUGUGUUUUUUUUAAAAAAAAACUUGGCCAAAGUUACAAAAACUUCGGAGUUCUUUUGUCUUUGAGGCUUACUCAGAAGUAAGUCCAUUAAUAACCUUGGGGUCUCUUCCAAAUUCCCGAAGAAAAGAAGGCACCCAUUGAAGUCCUACCUGCGUUCAUUGAGAGCAAAGUAAGAAUCGGGGCUCACAGAUCGAUCAACAUUUUCAUGCCUUUUUAACAAAAGAGACUAGAAGUGAAAAUGCCACCAUGAAUGUAGCUGUCCAUUGCCUUCUUCAAGGUAAAUCCUAAGACGGGGCCAUCCAGCCUUACCUGUAACAAAAUCUGAGUUACGGUAAUCGGUUAUGGAUCCAGCCUUCCAUUUUUUUGAAUCCUUAAUGCUUUCUGAGCUGGGAGCUUUUCUUGUGGACGUUUCAUAACCCAACUAGGUUACACCAUUAUUGAUAGAAGGGAGUGGGGUUUGGUGCAAGUAUCUAGAGCAGCAUCUAGAACUGACGACGUGAACUAGUUGGGUCAUGAAACAUCUACAAGGAAACCAACCAGGGGUGAAAUGCUACCGGUUCAGACCGGUUCGCCCGAAUCGGUAGUAAUUGAAGCUACCGGUUCGGGGAAAACCGGUAGUUAAAAAAAUUGCUACCGAUUCGGACAAACUGGUAUUUCCAAUAAUCAGCUGUGCCGCGCAAUUUAUAUUUGCUAGAAAGCAGGAAAUCCUGCUUUCUAGUGACUCUAAAUCCCGCGGCACAGCUGGUCCCCCCCCCUUCGCUGUUCUACUUACCUUAGAAAAGGCUUCUCCGUCUUCAGCGCUGCGCGGUAGUGCCUGCGGUGCGCCUGCGUGCAAAGCGUGUGUUUGGUGCACAGACUUUGGAGCAUUUCACCACCAACGCAACUCGGAGAGCACCAAACGCUUCUCUGUUCAACCCUGAGCUACGCAUAUUCUUUUCUACGGAGGUCUCUGUAUUUUUCCAUAACGACUGAUUAAUCACCAGCAUAGAUUAAAAUACCCUUGUUUUCCUUCAUCUUUUUAAAUUUUUCAUUACUCUAAGAAGAUCGCUCGCUCUGGAGGCCCCACUAAUUCUGACGCUGAUAUGAAUGUGACUCGUAUGUUAUUUCAGUUAUUUUUUGGGGAGGGAAGAUUAAGAGCAAUGUCAAGAAGAAGAAAAAAACCAAUUCACCAUAUAGCGAGUUGAAAUAUUAAACACAUGUUUUAAAGGGUGAUUUACAUGGCAAUAUUAUAAAUGUAACGGGGUUGUGUUUUUGUUUUUUUUAAGCGUUCCCAAAAAUUGUAUGUAGCUUUCCAUUUCUUUAGAUGGCAAGACAUAAUAACCGUGUCAUAAUUAUUUUUAUAUCUACUACAUUCUCAGCACUUCGUAGCGAUCCAUUAUUCUUGUUAUUUAGAACUAAUUCUGUACCCAGUAUAAUUAUUGAUAUGGCUGGUAAGCCAGAAUCGGGGCUUCAGUUACAGACAAGAUCACCAAAGUCUCAAAUACCAAUUAUUACACUAAUCUCUAUUAAUGAUAUUUAUUCUAAAAAUGCUCUGGGAAGUAAGAAAAUUGUCUAAAAUGCAACUGCUUUUAUAGUAAAUGUUACAUUUAUAAAUAAACAUUGAUUAAAAUGGG